rnacentral:tRNA from 1 species
GCCCGUGUGGCGGAAUGGUAGACGCAGCAGACUUAAAAUCUGCAGCCUUUUUUGGGCGUGGGGGUUCGAGUCCCUCCACGGGCACCA